GACGUAGGGCGCAAGCGUUGUCCGGAUUUAUUGGGCGUAAAGAGCUCGUAGGCGGCUUGUUGCGUCGUCCGUGAAAACCCGCAGCUCAACUGCGGGCUUGCGGACGAUACGGGCAGGCUGGAGUUCGGUAGGGGAGACUGGAAUUCCUGGUGUAGCGGUGAAAUGCGUAGAUAUCUGGAGGAACACCGGUGGCGAAGGCGGCAUCCUGGACCAAUACUGACACUGAGGAGCGAAAGCCAGGGGAGCAAACGGG
rnacentral:rRNA from 1 species